rnacentral:tRNA from 1 species
GGGCGGAUCGCCAAAUCCGGCUAAGGCAAGAGGCUGCAACCCUCUCAUUGUGGGUUCAAAUACUGGCGCUCAAAGCGUGCAUACCUUCGAACGCCAGUGAGAAAGUCCCACUCCGCCCU